ACGAGAAAUCCUGAGCAAUCGGGAGAGUAAAGUGGCGCACGGGUGAGUAACGCGUGGGUAACCUGCCCUUGGAUUGGGGAUAACCUCGCGAAAGCGGGGUUAAUACCGAAUAACAUGCUGAUUCUCAAGGGAGUUAGCAUCAAAGAUGGCCUCUGCUUGCAAGCUAUUGUCUAAGGAUGGGCCCGCGUACCAUUAGCUAGUUGGGAGGGUAAUGGCCUACCAAGGCUACGAUGGUUAGCUGGUCUGAGAGGACGACCAGCCACACUGGAACUGAGACACGGUCCAGACUCCUACGGGAGGCAGCAGUGGGGAAUCUUGCGCAAUGGGGGAAACCCUGACGCAGCGACGCCGCGUGGGUGAUGAAGGCCUUCGGGUCGUAAAGCCCUGUCAGGUGGGAAGAAACGUAUCGGUGCUAAUAUCAUCGAUAUUUGACGGUACCACCGGAGGAAGCACCGGCUAACUCCGUGCCAGCAGCCGCGGUAAUACGGAGGGUGCAAGCGUUGUUCGGAAUUACUGGGCGUAAAGCGCGUGUAGGCGGUCGGGUAAGUCAGAUGUGAAAGCCUUCCGCUUAACGGAAGAAGGGCAUUUGAAACUACCCGGCUGGAGUACGGGAGAGGAGAGUGGAAUUCCCGGUGUAGAGGUGAAAUUCGUAGAUAUCGGGAGGAACACCAGUGGCGAAGGCGGCUCUCUGGCCCGAUACUGACGCUGAGACGCGAAAGCGUGGGGAGCAAACAGGAUUAGAUACCCUGGUAGUCCACGCCGUAAACGAUGGGCACUAGGUGUAGGAGGUAUUGACCCCUUCUGUGCCGAAGCUAACGCAUUAAGUGCCCCGCCUGGG
rnacentral:rRNA from 1 species